CGAUGAUUUCAAGUAAUUUUUUUGAAACCUGAAUAGUAAUCAACACGCAAAAAGAUGAGAUAUUCCCUAAAAGUUAUAAUAAACGAUUUAAGCAUGCAGCUACCGUAUAUAACAAGCAGCCAGCCGCACCUCCAUCAACCCAGCAAGACAAGAAUGCUCAAAAUUUGAAGAGCUCCAUGUACCUGAAUCUCUCAAACUUACAACAUGCAGGUAGAUGCAAAAAAUGUUCUUGUAUCGAAACGGAAAGUCAUUGGUUGUCAUUCACUUGGAAAUGCUUACACGUAGCUCUCUAAUUCUAGUUUUAGUUUAAGUAUCCCAUGUUACUGCUAUUAAGAAAUAAAUACAUAACUGACGACCCGGAAUGGGAUAUCUUUGAGCAUCACACCAGCUGGAACAUUGAGGUCCAAUCUAUGUGGCGUUCAUAGCUGUUUCGAGAAGCUAAGCUGCAAGCUACCGGGCGCGUCCAUAGGUUGCUGAUAGUGGAAUGCUACAUAC